rnacentral:rRNA from 1 species
CCUACGGGUGGCAGCAGUAGGGAAUAUUGCUCAAUGGGGGAAACCCUGAAGCAGCAACGCCGCGUGGAGGAUGAAGGUUUUCGGAUUGUAAACUCCUUUUGUUAGAGAAGAUAAUGACGGUAUCUAACGAAUAAGCACCGUCUAACUCCGUGCCAGCAGCCGCGGUAAUACGGAGGGUGCAAGCGUUACUCGGAAUCACUGGGCGUAAAGAGCGCGUAGGCGGGAUAGCAAGUCAGAUGUUAAAUCCUAGGGCUUAACCAUAGAACUGCAUUUGAAACUGUUAUUCUAGAGUAUGGGAGAGGUAGGUGGAAUUCUUGGUGUAGGGGUAAAAUCCGUAGAGAUCAAGAGGAAUACUCAUUGCGAAGGCGACCUGAUAGAACAUAACUGACGCUGAUGCGCGAAAGCGUGGGGAGCAAACAGGAUUAGAUACCCCAGUAGUC